GGGUAAACAACACCUGCGGUGGCAAUGGGAAUCUGUGCUUGUUGCCCAACAUUAAAAUACUGCCUCAUCUCCUGACGUCUGUUGCGCAUGAUAGCCUUGUAUUCGCCAAUGCGUAAUUUUUUGCCAUCUACAAGGCAGGUACGCUUCGGCCUUGGCUUGUAUUUGUAGUCUGGGUACUUCUCCAGGUGCUGUUUGCUGAGUCGGGCCUGUUCCUCGUAGUAUGGCUGCUUCUCUAGGUUUGUCAUAGCUUUCCAGCGAGAUCCUAGUAUCUUGCUGAUAUUGGAGUUGUGCAUGUCAGGGAAGGCUUGAAGGAUCUUCCUCCGUUCAUCUUUAGCCCACACCAUGAAUGCAUUCAUUGGGCGCUUGAUAUGAGGCUCAUUACUGCCACGCCCUCUGGAUUCCCGAUAAAUUCUUGAUUCUGAAACUCCUGCACUUCCAUCAGAAUCUCCACUCAUGUUGAAAUCCAUCAUUGCGUGGCUAAACUUCCCGUCUUCACUCUGUUUUACUGCCAGUUGCUGAGUCAGGGUCUCCAGUGUCGUUUUGUCCUUUUCUGUCCUGCAGUUAUUGAGACCCAGACUAUUCACAACAGCCACCUUCCCGUCCAGCACCUGUUGUUCCCUCCGAAGUUGCUCCUUCAUCUGCCG
rnacentral:lncRNA from 1 species